ensembl:lncRNA
UUUAGUAAAAAAAAAAGAAGUAGAAUCUCCAAAUAGAUCAUCAAGAGUGUAAAGCCAUUGCUGAGGUUCGAAGAUCAGCGUUUAUUUCAGCAACAUGUGAUUUACUUCAGAUCACUGAAAGGUCAGAAACCUGGCCUGAGGGACGUCGUGUCGUUUAGUCCAAAAGAUCUGAUUACAGAGAUCACACACACACACACACACACACACACACACACACACACACACACACAAACACACUAAGGGGGAAAUUUAUCUUAGCCAAUCCCCUUACUGCCAUGUUUUUAGGAGGUGGGAGGAAACCGGAGAAUCCGGAGGAAACCCACACAGACACGGGGAGAACAUGAAGAAGAACUCCACACAGAAACCCGACUCCGGAUCGGACCGGGACUCUGAGACGGCGGCGCUUCCUGCUGCACCACAUCACUCAAUAUUCAGUGAGAUGGAACUGUUGAACGGACUGUUUUUAUUUCUGGUUGUUUUGAGAAAAGCAUGCUGGGAAAUAAAUUACUGCAGUAACAUUAAGUUUCUGUUGCUCUUUGGCUUCGUAUCGGUUCGCUAGCAAGCGUUCUAACAAGCUGUUAUGAGAAAUGAGAGUGAUAAACUAAACAGAAACAUCAUCAUAGACCCAUGAGAUCUUAUUAUUUAUUCAUGCGCUUAUUUCCUCUCAGAUUGAUUCCUGUAAUUCCCUCUACAUGGAAUUACGCUUGACUCCAGUCACCAAAACUCACUACUGCUGAUCUGGAGACGUACGCUGCAGCAGCGGAGCUCCUCGGACCCGUCACCCCUCCUAAUACCCAUCUUCUGUUGGCUGGGGAGGUGUCCGAGUCAACUGUAUGCAGGAAAAUCCAAUGUGUUUGUCAGAAUUUUUCGGAUUCUGACACGUCAGGGACUUGUCUCACUCACUCACGUGUCUCACUCAGGUAAGUGUCUCACUCACUGAUGUGUCUCACUGACAUGUCUCACUCACUGACGUGUCUCACUGACAUGUCUCACUCACUCACGUGUCUCACUCAGGUAAGUGUCUCACUCACUGAUGUGUCUCACUGACAUGUCUCACUCACUGACGUGUCUCACUGACAUGUCUCACUCACUCACGUGUCUCACUCAGGUAAGUGUCUCACUCACUGAUGUGUCUCACUGACAUGUCUCACUCACUCACGUGUCUCACUCAGGUAAGUGUCUCACUCACUGACGUGUCUCACUGACAUGUCUCACUCACUCACGUGUCUCACUGACAUGUCUCACUCACUCACGUGUCUCACUCAGGUAAGUGUCUCACUCACUCACGUGUCUCACUGACAUGUCUCACUCACUCACGUGUCUCACUCAGGGAUGUGUUUCAUAGCUCCAGAGUUCCCGGGUCGAUCCUGAGCUCAGGUUAUUGUCUGUGUGGAGUUUCUGAACCUGUUCUCCUGUGUUCUUGUGGGUUUCCUCUGGGUUCUCUUCUGUCUUCCAAAAACAUGCUGUUAGGGGAACUGGCUAUGCUAAAUGACCCCCUAGGUGUGAACGUGUGUGCAUGCUUCCAUCCAGGGUGUACCCCACACCCCAGUUUUAUACUCACCCUGAGCAGGAUAAAGCGCUUAUUUAGUUAUGAAUGUAUUCAGUUCAGUUCAGUGUUAUUAGUGCAGCGUGUUUAACGGUGGACGUCGUCCCGG